CUGCGCCUUUAACCCCUGUGCCUCACCCUCACUGCGGUGCACACACGCUCAGCACCACACCCACUCAGCUCACACUCCUUCUGUCACACACCUACACACUCUGAACGGAGCUGCACCACGCCCAACUCGUUCCGCCACCACCGAACUGUCGAGCCCAGAGAAGAGAGAGUUGCUACUGUGCUGUCGAGAAGAGAGCUCGCACAGAGAGGGAGGACUCACGAAUGAGGGGUUGUCUCCCAGAGUCGCCGCUGUUUGUGCCUUGCCGUCGCCAUUCUGGCUUCCAUCAAGCUCGAAAUGUAACUGUUUGUGGUGCUUGCCGUCAUCGCUGGAGCUUCUGCCGCCGCCGUGAACCGCGAACAGAGGAGAGCGAGAGAGACUGAAGCGAGAGAGAAGAGAUGAUGAACGAAGCCGUCACUGGAGCCUUGGUCGUCGCUGCCAGAGGCGUAGAAGAAGGGAGAUAGGACCGCAUGAGCUAGAGGAGCCAUUGUGAUCGCCGCUGCUGUCGUGGGUGGAGUCUGCCGUCGAGCUGCAUGCCGCCACUGCUGUCGAAAACCACUGUCAGAACCACUACUAUUUUGUUGUCACCGUGAGUUACCCUGCCAUCGCCAUUACUGAAGGUUGCUGCUGCCACCAAUGCUAGUUCAUGGUAGAAUGAUGAGGCUACGAUGUCGAGGGUGCAGUUCUGCUAGCUGUCCGGCCCUUAUUCCGCCUUCAGUUUUUUUUAAUUGCGACAUCAAGCAUAGAUUGAGAUUGAGAAAGUACAAGAGAGAUUUGUAUUCUUUGCAAAAGGAAGGAGAAAACUUGCUGGUCAUGUAGAGCCCUAAUGACAAAUUAAUCGCCAUUCUUGAGUGCUAAAAUGGUGACAAUAUGAUACCUAAAGGACUCAAGAAUAUUUUGAUUCAUAAAGAUAUUAAUCUAUGUUACACUUUUAACUUUUGGUUGAACUAGUGUAUGAAAUAUAACUUGUAAAACUAAUCAAUGUAGACACUAAUGUUAUUUUGUUUUAAAACAAUCUUAGUUAAAUGAAGUAUGUUUGAAUUA